UACAGAGGGUGCGAGCGUUGUCCGGAAUUACUGGGCGUAAAGGGCGCGUAGGCGGCCCGAUAAGUCGGGGGUGAAAGUCCGCGGCUCAACCGCUGGACUGCCUUCGAGACUGUUAGGCUUGAGCAUGGUAGAGGCUGGCGGAAUUCCCGGUGUAGCGGUGGAAUGCGUAGAGAUCGGGAAGAACAUCGGUGGCGAAGGCGGCCAGCUGGGCCAUUGCUGACGCUGAUGCGCGACAGCGUGGGGAGCAAACAGG
rnacentral:rRNA from 1 species